rnacentral:rRNA from 1 species
CAGUCGCCGCGGUAAUACGGAGGGUGCGAGCGUUAAUCGGAAUCACUGGGCGUAAAGAGUUCGUAGGCGGUUUGUUAAGUCGAAUGUGAAAGCCCUGGGCUCAAUCCAGGAAGUGCAUUCGAUACUGGCAAGCUGGAGUGCAAGAGAGGAAGGCGGAAUUCCAGGUGUAGAGGUGAAAUUCGUAGAUAUCUGGAGGAACAACAGAGGCGAAGGCGGCCUUCUGGACUGUCACUGACGCUGAGGAACGAAAGCGUGGGGAGCAAACAGGAUUAGAUACCCCAGUAGUCCCUGUCUCUUAUAC